rnacentral:rRNA from 1 species
GAUGAACGCUGGCGGCGUGCCUAAUACAUGCAAGUCGAACGAGGUGCUUUUGUAGCAAUACGAGAGUAUCCUAGUGGCGAACGGGUGAGUAACGCGUGGAUGACCUGCCCCAAAGUGUGGGAUAACAGUCCGAAAGGAUUGCUAAUACCUCAUGUGGUUAUCGGUUUUAGAAAGCGAUAACUAAGGCAGCAAUGCGCUUUGGGAGGGAUCUGCGUCCCAUCAGCUAGUUGGUGAGGUAACGGCUCACCAAGGCGACGACGGGUAGGGGGACCUGAGAGGGUGGCCCCCCACAAUGGAACUGAAACACGGUCCAUACACCUACGGGUGGCAGCAGUAGGGGAAUAUUGCUCAAUGGGCGAAAGCCUGAAGCAGCAACGCCGCGUGUGCGAUGAAGG